ACGUUUUCGUACCUCCGGGUGGACAGGGAGGACAGGUGGUGCGAUGGUUGUCGUCAGCUCGUGUCGUGAGAUGUUGGGUUAAGUCCCGCAACGAGCGCAACCCCUACCGUUUAGUUGCUAACGCGUGAAGGCGAGCACUCUAGACGAACUGCCGUUGACAAAACGGAGGAAGGUGGGAUGACGUCAAAUCAUCAUGCCCCUUAUGUUCUGGGCUACACACGUGCUACAAUGGCCGGUACAGACGGACGCAAGGCCGCGAGGUGGAGCAAAUCCUAAAAAGCCGGUCUCAGUUCGGAUUGCAGGCUGCAAUUCGCCUGCAUGAAGUCGGAAUCGCUAGUAAUCGCAGGUCAGCAUACUGCGGUGAAUACGUUCCCGGGCCUU
rnacentral:rRNA from 1 species